GUUUUUUAUACCCACACUGGGUAAUUUGAUAGAAACAUGCUGGGUUAUAUGUUUACCCAAUUAUUGGUGUGUGGUCGUUUGACCAUAUACUGGGUUAUGCUAACCAUUGAUGAGUUAUUAUACCCAAUCACUGGGUUUAUCAUAACAUUUGAAAUCAGAGCCAGCCAACGGACUUUUUCCUGGAAGUCAACUGAACUGGGGAAAACCUUCAACAACAAGGAAAGGUUAACCAGAGAUCGCACUGGCGUCCGGAUCCUUUGUAAGCUGAUCACGUUAUGUCCGUCUGUGCUAAGACUGGAAGUGACUGAAAGACAACACAGAUGCAUUCUUUCAGCAAGGUGACCAAAAUCUGUUUCACUCUGCAGCACUUGUCCUGGAGGUUUUGUAGACAGAACUGGAAGUGACUGAAAGAAAACGGAGACUUAUUCUUUCAGCAAGGUGACCAAAAUCUGUUUCGCUCUGCAGCACUUGUCCCGGAGGCUUUGUAGACAGAGUGACUGAACGAAAACCUAAAUGAGAAAUGCUGUGUACCUCAUCUUGAACUCUUUCACAUGGUGAUUCCUACACAUAAUUGCACACUGUAUGUGUUUAGCUAUCCUAUCUUACAAAGACUUAUUGCCAAUACUGUAUCUGCCUUUCCUCAAUACAAUGUAAAAAGUGCUGCAUAGACCAUUUAGAGAAGCAAUGUCUCAUGACUUUUGCUGUAUGUUUAGUUUUGAUCAAGUUUCAUUUGUUUUGUAAAAUAUCUUUGCAGAUUUUCUUUUCGUGCCUGGACACUUUUUUCCUUUCAAAUAUUGCUUUGAAUUGAUGCAAAUUGAAGAACGUGAAUCCCUGGUAAUAAAGGAAGGUUGACCAGAAAAUAA